rnacentral:rRNA from 1 species
UACGAAGGGGGCUAGCGUUGUUCGGAAUUACUGGGCGUAAAGGUCGCGUAGGCGGUGUGUCAAGUCAGGCGUGAAAGCCCCGGGCUCAACCUGGGAACAGCGCUUGAGACUGGCACGCUCGAGUUCGGGAGAGGAUGGUGGAAUUCCCAGUGUAGAGGUGAAAUUCGUAGAUAUUGGGAAGAACACCGAUGGCGAAGGCAGCCAUCUGGACCGACACUGACGCUGAGGCGCGAAAGCGUGGGGAGCAAACAGG